UGUAGACAUUUGGUCUAGGAGGCACUCUAAUAGUUCUUCUCUCCCACACUUUCUUUAGGAACUUCCCAAACAAUGAGCUAGAUCUGGCAAUGCAUGUACCAACCUCUUCAUCUAUGUGGACAUCCCUAGAAAGUAGACUGCCAAAGUAAGAAUAUUGAUGCCCAGAGGAAUGGAGCAGUUGUCCAAGUUGCACAAGGUCCGGUGCCACCUCUCUGUCCCAAAGGAAUCAAGGACUUGAGUUCAAAUUCAAGCUCUUCUUUGAAUUAUUUGUGUGACGUUGGAAAAAUCUCUGCCUCUCUAGGCCACCAUUUCCACCUCCAAAAUGGGAGGAGUUUCACUUAUGUGAAGACUGAUGUCCCUUCUUACCCUAAAUCUACUGUGGUCAUAUGAAUUGUUACUAUACUGGAUUUCAUAUUACAGUAAGAACAUAAUAUAAAAGCUAUGGAGGAGACCCUAUGGAUUUGGAAGUUGUUACCUAAAAGGAUGAAUUUUCUGUACCAACCAAACUGGUUUGAUACCUUUCUUUCUCCUAAUCAACAGUGAAACAACUCUUCACUUGGCCAGAGGAAAUGCGGUCUGGAAAGAGCUGGCUGUGGAGCUCAGAAGACUCCCUUAACUAAGAACAAACUAAGGGUCACUAAGGAAAGAUUUUACAGUCCCUCAUGAGUAGGAAGAGGACUCAGUAAUGUUCUGACUGUGGCGAAGAUGACUCAAGUCUACAUCAGGCAUUUUGUACUUUCUAGUUCAGAAAGGGCAGACUUUUCUUCUCUAGCUCCUGUCUUAGGCUAUUGUAUAGAGCAGUGAUUUGGAAAUGACAGUGGGUCAGGCCCUAGAUGAAAAUAAUUGCAGGGCCUUGGGGGAAGAGAUUUGCAAUGUAAAUAGAAAUCUUUCUUGACUGGAAAAAAAAAACCCUCUCAUUUUGUGCAUUUAGGAGAGAUAGAAUUCAAACACAUGUAUAUACAAA
rnacentral:lncRNA from 1 species